GGUCGGCCCCUAAGGCGAGGCCGAAAGGCGUAGUCGAUGGGAAACGGGUCAAUAUUCCCGUACCGAUCUGUAAUGCGAUGGGGGGACGGAGAAGGUUAGCUCAGCCAUCUGUUGGAAUAGGUGGUUUAAGCGUGUAGGCGUGCUGCAUAGGCAAAUCCGUGCGGCUUAGUCGAGGCGUGAUGACGAGGAUCUUCGGAUCUGAAGUGAGUGAUACCCAGCUUCCAGGAAAAGCCUCUAAGCUUCAGUUACAGAUUGACCGUACCGCAAACCGACACAGGUGGGCAGGAUGAAAAUUCUAAGGCGCUUGAGAGAACUCAGGAGAAGGAACUCGGCAAAUUGAUACCGUAACUUCGGGAGAAGGUAUGCCCCGGUAGCGUGAAGCCCCUGCGGGUGGAGCGUGAUGGAGUCGCAGAGAAUCGGUGGCUGCAACUGUUUAAUAAAAACACAGCACUCUGCAAAGGCGAAAGCCGACGUAUAGGGUGUGACGCCUGCCCGGUGCCGGAAGGUUAAGUGAUGGGGUGCAAGCUCUUGAUCGAAGCCCCGGUAAACGGCGGCCGUAACAAUAACGGUCCUAAGGUAGCGAAAUUCCUUGUCGGGUAAGUUCCGACCUGCACGAAUGGCGUAAUGAUGGCCACACUGUCUCCUCCUGAGACUCAGCGAAGUUGAAAUGUUUGUGAAGAUGCAAUCUCCCCGCGGCUAGACGGAAAGACCCCAUGAACCUUUACUGUAGCUUUGCAUUGGACUUUGACGGGACUUGCGUAGGAUAGGUGGGAGGCUGUGAGGCGUGGUCGCCAGAUCGCGCGGAGCCGACGUUGAAAUACCACCCUGGUGUCGUUGAGGUUCUAACCUUGGUCCGUGAAUCCGGAUCGGGGACCGUGCAUGGCAGGCAGUUUGACUGGGGCGGUCUCCUCCCAAAGUGUAACGGAGGAGUACGAAGGUCUUCUAAGCACGGUCGGACAUCGUGCUCAUAGUGCAAUGGCAAAAGAAGGCUUGACUGCGAGUCCCACAAGACGAGCAGGUGCGAAAGCAGGUCAUAGUGAUCCGGUGGUUCUGUAUGGAAGGGCCAUCGCUCAACGGAUAAAAGGUACUCUGGGGAUAACAGGCUGAUUCCGCCCAAGAGUUCAUAUCGACGGCGGAGUUUGGCACCUCGAUGUCGGCUCAUCACAUCCUGGGGCUGUAGCCGGUCCCAAGGGUAUGGCUGUUCGCCAUUUAAAGUGGUACGUGAGCUGGGUUUAAAACGUCGUGAGACAGUUUGGUCCCUAUCUGCCGUGGGCGCUGGAAAUUUGAGGGGGCCUGCUCCUAGUACGAGAGGACCGGAGUGGACGGAUCUCUGGUGUACCGGUUGUCACGCCAGUGGCAUCGCCGGGUAGCUAAAUCCGGAAGAGAUAAACGCUGAAAGCAUCUAAGCGUGAAACUCGCCUCGAGAUGAGAUUUCCCGGGAGUUCAACUCCCCUGAAGGGUCGUCCUAGACCAGGACGUUGAUAGGUCAGGUGUGGAAGCGCAGUAAUGCGUUAAGCUAACUGAUACUAAUUGCCCGUGCGGCUUGACC
rnacentral:rRNA from 1 species